UUUGUGCCUUGCAGAUGUUGGUUCUGCUUCUCUUUGCUUUAGCGGCGAUAAAUUAACAUUCAAUAACGCCGUCUAAAGACGAGGUGAUCAGUUUGAUGAUAUUUUAGUGGUUGCUUUUUAGUUUUGCUGGUAAAAACAGAGCUACUUCUCUCAUUCGAAAUCAUCCCAGAUAUUAAUGUCGCUUGUUAACCAAUUUUGUGCAUCAAAUCGAUUUUACGAGGUUCCUUUAGGGGAGCAAGGUGUUGUUAGUCCACCGAUUUGAAGCUACAUGAGGAUGAGGUUUGUGCUGGCCAUGAUGCAGUGACUUUAUGAUCUGAAAACCUACCGGAUAUCUACCCCACUUCCUGCCUUCCAUUCAACGUCUUCUCGAUGAGGUUGGUGAAUUGAAGGAAUUGUAUUUUUUAGUGGUUAGGUUUUGUAAAUCACUUAGUUAAGUCCAAUGACGAUUCUGUAAUCCAGAAUUCUCUUCAAGUGCGUGUUAAUCUUACGUUUGGUUGUUUGGUGCCAGUAAGCUAAGGUUAUAUCUACUUAAUCCUUUGCUGCCGUUGAGACUUACUUUCUGAUUCCUGCUAUUUCAUUUCAUUUCUGUCCGUCUAAAUUUGGGGAUUUAAAAAAAAAAUCUGGAAUAUCAAAUUUUGAUAUAAUUGGUAUAUAAGUCAAAAAUAGGGAAUAAAAAGUCUCUGAUAGGUCAAGAAUUCAUGACCUUGAUUAAGCUUAAGAGGGAAGCUAGAGAUGAGACAUGUUCCAUCUCUUCUCUUAUUCGU